rnacentral:lncRNA from 1 species
UAAAAGAAGAAGUCCGGUAUGGAAAUUUUUUGAAAUAAUAGAAGGUACUAAUAGUGUUAAGUACAAAUUUUGUAACGGAACUUGUCAACAUUUGACCGGAGGAAAUUUAGGAGGGACUGGAACACUUACAAGACAUAUGAAAGCUGUCCAUCCCAUAAAAUGGAUCAAUAAUUUUUAAAAGUGGCCUUGAUUUAUUUUCAGACUUUCAGUUGGGAAGCAAUGCUUUG